rnacentral:lncRNA from 1 species
CGCAAAAUGGAGGUUGAAAAUCUCGGGUCCGAGAGAAGCUGGCAAGGCACAAGCAGUGAGACUAGCGUGCUGCUCCAGCAAAGCCAGAGGCAGCUUUCGAGCUUUUCUAGAGGAAGAGCUGAUGAAAAGAGUCACAGCUGAAUAGUGGAGAGAAAAAGCCCGAUAUUUAUUGCUUUUGUUUGGCUUUUGGCUACAGAGACAGGAACCUUCUAAUGGGGUAAGGACAUUAUUUUAUCUGCAAUCUAUUGCUGCGAGAGCAGGGGCGGCAGAUGGGGCUGGUGCCAUAUUCACAGUGUAAUUUAGAGCAAAUCCUAAUAACUAAUAAUGAUUUAUGUUAAUUUUGAUCACUUAUGCGACUUUACCAAAGCAUUGUGAUGAAAGAAAGAGAAAGAGAAGCAGAAUGUGACAAGGAGCUCUGAGGCUGAGAUUGGAGCUCAACUAUCCUGCUUAAAAUGUGUUUUAUGAGUUAGCAAUGGAAAUACAGGCAUUUUAAAAAAGCAGGUAGGAUCCAUUUGACUCUGGGCAGCGGUAUUUCCCGGGGGCUUGCAUUUCUUCUGAAAAUGUACCUUAUUGUCAAUCCUGACGCCUUUGAGUGGGGGACUGACUGUUUCAUCCCAGUUUUAAAGAAAACAGAUAGGUUUCAAUGGUUUCAUUUGCUUAUAUUCAACUGAGUCGUUUUGUGUGUAUAUGUGUGUGCGCUUGUGUGUGUGUUUGUCUAGGAGGAUCAAGUGUAUGCAAAGUAUGAGCGCGCGCCCGGGUCUUCCCUCCAAAGUAGUCUGAGCCCGAGGAGGUUUGAAACCAGCCUCAGCGCCUCUGAGCAGGCUCUAGCGCACCGCCGCCACGCCUAAUGCAAAAGUUUUAUUGCUGGCUGCUUAAACAAGUUGCCGUUGCUUAACCUUCACUUCCCAUCUGAUAUUUGUCUAGAAUCAACUUUUGGGAAGGUUUGCGGUCUCUACCUCCGGUCCUGCCUCUCCCCCAAGGGAUUCCAGGGCUUUGAAAUUUAAAAGUGCCUCCUCUCUCCUCAUCCCCCUGGUAACGUGGCACGGGUUCAGAACCCCAGGGGCUGCCAACGGGACGUAGUUCUGCACAGGAACAGGCGAUUUUCGGCUGCCACGCAGUGCUCUGCAGAGGGUCGGAGGGA